CGAAAGCCUGACGGAGCAACGCCGCGUGAGGGAUGAAGGCCUCUGGGCUGUAAACCUCUUUUCUCAAGGAAGAAGAUCUGACGGUACUUGAGGAAUAAGCCACGGCUAAUUCCGCGCCAGCAGCCGCGGUAAUACGGGAGUGGCAAGCGUUAUCCGGAAUCAUUGGGCGUAAAGCGUCCGCAGGCGGCCUUGUAAGUCUGUCGUUAAAGCGUGGAGCUUAACUCCAUUUCAGCGAUGGAAACUACAAGGCUUGAGUGUGGUAGGGGCAGAGGGAAUUCCCGGUGUAGCGCUGAAAUGCGUAGAUAUCGGGAAGAACACCAGUGGCGAAGGCGCUCUGCUGGGCCAUAACUGACGCUCAUGGACGAAAGCCAGGGGAGCG
rnacentral:rRNA from 1 species